rnacentral:rRNA from 1 species
UACGAAGGGACCUAGCGUAGUUCGGAAUUACUGGGCUUAAAGAGCUCGUAGGUGGUUAAAAAAGUUGAUGGUGAAAUCCCAAGGCUCAACCUUGGAACUGCCAUCAAAACUUUUUAGCUAGAGUAUGAUAGAGGUAAGUGGAAUUUCUAGUGUAGAGGUGAAAUUCGUAGAUAUUAGAAAGAACACCAAAUGCGAAGGCAACUUACUGGAUCAUUACUGACACUGAGGAGCGAAAGCAUGGGUAGCGAAGAGG